UGAGGAAUAUUGGUCAAUGGCCGCAAGGCUGAACCAGCCAAGUAGCGUGCAGGAAGACGGCCCUCGGGUUGUAAACUGCUUUUAGUCGGGAAUAAAAGGGCGCACGUGUGCGUCGUAUUGCAAGUACCGUCAGAAAAAGGACCGGCUAAUUCCGUGCCAGCAGCCGCGGUAAUACGGAAGGUCCGGGCGUUAUCCGGAUUUAUUGGGUUUAAAGGGAGCGUAGGCGGUCUGGUAAGUCAGCUGUGAAAACGCGGGGCUCAACUCCGCGCCUGCAGUUGAUACUGUCGGACUUGAGUGCACGCAGGGAUGCCGGAAUUCAUGGUGUAGCGGUGAAAUGCUUAGAUAUCAUGAAGAACUCCGAUCGCGAAGGCAGGUGUCCGGAGUGCUACUGACGCUGAGGCUCGAAAGUGUGGGUAUCAAACAGG
rnacentral:rRNA from 1 species